UCUGUCUCAAAAAAUAAAAUAAAGUAAAUAAAAUGAAGGAAAGGGAUUUUUUUUUGAGACAAGUUAUUGCUUUGUUGCCCAGGCUAGAGUGCAGUGGCACAAUCUUGGCUCACUGCAACCUCAAUCAUCAUGCCUGGCUAAUUUUUGUAUUUUUAGUAGAGACAGUGUUUCACCAUGUUGGCCAAGUAGGUCUAGAACUCCUGACCUCAAGUGAUCCACCUGCCUCGGCCUCCCAAAGUGCUGGACUAUUUUGGAAGGUGUGAGCCACCGUGCCUGGCUAGGAAAUGGAUUUUUUUUUUUUACCUUCUCACAGAUUCAUAUAAGGUCCCACUCACUGACAUUCUUUCAAUCACAUCUUGUUUCUGGUGUAACUAUUUACACUUCUCUCUCUCUCUCUCUGUUCAUAAAUUGUACCCAUCACAAGUAUCAUAAUCUUAUUAAACACUUCCCAUACUCACAUAGCUAAUAGCCUUACAUUGUAGAUAUGUAAUUUCACACAAUCUGUUGCUUUAAGUUUAUAUAAAAGAUCAAGUUCCUUUCAAUAAAAGAACAACAACAAUAAAAAGAUUAUGACCUUACAAAAAGCCCUUGAAAUGUCUAAAAUAGAUUAAAUAAAAUAUAGACCAGCACCUCAACAGGGAAUAAGAAACAGCUAGCAUUUCACAGACUUACACAAAGCCAAUGAACACAUGAACAUGUACUCAUUAGCAUGAAUAAUCAAAUAAGUAGAAAUUUAAAAUGAGGUUUUCUUUUUCACCUCUCAGAUUGGUAGGUAAAGAGACUGGUAUUAUGGUUUGGUGAGGCUGUAGGGAAAUAAACAGAGUAGGAAUGGAAUUAAGCACAACCAUUUUGUUUUUUAAAUUCAUUUUAUUAUUUUUAUAUAUUUUGAGACAAGAUCUCACUCUGUCUCCCAGGCUGGAGUGCAGUGGCGUGAUCUCGGCUCACUGCAACCUCCGCCUCCUGGGUUCAAGUGACUCUUGUGCCUCAGCCUCCCGAGUAGCUGAGAUUACAGCGGUGCGCCACCAAGCCCCGCUAAUUUUUGUAUUUUUUAGUAGAGAUGCGGUUUUGUCAUGUUGGCCAGGCUGUAAGCACAACCAUUUUGAAACACAAUUUGGCAACAACUUGUGAGCUGGCAUAUAUACUUUGAGCAAUUUGUAUCUCAGAAGCAUUCCACAAGUCCAUAAGAAUAUAUACAUGUCCAUAGAAAAUACACAUCUGUUCUAAUAGCAAAUAAUUGAAAACAUCUACAAGUCCAUCCAUAGGUGUGAUAUGUUGAAUUGUGUCCCCUAAAAAGAUAAGUUUAAGUCCUAAUCCAUGGCAUACUUGCGAAUGUGACCUUACUUGGAAAUACAGUCUGUGCAGAUGUGAUUAGUUAAGACAAUGGUCCCCAACCUUUUUUGCACCAGGGACUGAUAUGAGAAUCUAAUGCUGCCACUGAUUUGACAGGAGGCGGAGUUCAGGUGGUAAUACUUGUCACCACUCACCUCCUGCCAUGUGGCCCGGUUCCUAGCAGUCCACAGACUGGUACUGGUCUGCAGCCCAGGGAUUGGGGACCCUUGAGUUAAGAUGAGGGCAUAUUGAUAUGGCUCCGAUGAGUGGAGGAACACAAGGGUUCUUGGUCCUCAUGCCGGUUUAGAUAAAACAACAUGGACACAAGUGGAGUGGUUUUUUUUUUGUUGUUUUUUUUUGUUUUGUUUUUUUUUUGAGACGGAGUCUCGCUGUCGC
rnacentral:lncRNA from 1 species